rnacentral:piRNA from 1 species
GAUUUAUGGAAGAACCUGGAUUA